rnacentral:misc_RNA from 1 species
GCCUUAUUACCCGUAUCCAAACAAGCCGACACCUUAUUGUAAACCCAAUCGAAACUCCAGCAGUGCCGGAGCUUCCCCGAGAUCCCUCAGACGACUCCUCACCGGAAACCGACCUUACCCUCUCUCCAACCCAUCCGUCAAACCACAUUAACGAUCCACAAAAUUAUUCUGAAAACCACUUCCCACAAUCAUCCGAAACCCAGUCUCCACCACUCAAUACGACACUCGACGCCCCCGUUUCAGACUCUUAAGACUAUUCGUCCGACCGAUCGCCGAAGACAACCUUGGCGAACAACCCCCAAACCCCAAUUCUACAGACCCUGGUCCGCCACCAAAACGACGACCGUAGGAAGCGUUUCUUCACCAAAAUCAAUGGCAACCCAUCCUUCCUCCGCCAGAGGAUAGCCGGAGGCCAGUCCAAAGAAGUCGACGUCGAAGCAUUGAUUGCAAUAUCCAUAGGUUUUCCUGUGGAUUCGCUCACCGAAGAAGAAAUGGAACCAAAUGUGGUGUCUACAAUUGGCGGCACCGAGCAAGCUAACUAUAUUGUUGUGAGGAACUACAUUCUUGCUCGCUGGAGAUCAAAUGUGUCGAUUUGGCUGACUCGUGAUCACGCUUUUGAGUCAAUACGAGCCGAGUACAAAAUUCUGCUUAUAACUUUCUACUAGAACAUGGCUACAUCAACUUCGGGUUCGCUCCUGCUGUUAAAGAGGCGCAAAUGGUGUUGCAUGAACGGGCUGAUAGAGCCAGUGUGGUUGUUGUAGGUGCGGGUCUCGCUGUGCUAGUUGCAGCGAGGCAGCUAGUGGCUAUGGGUUUUAAAGUGGUCGUCUUGGAAGGUAGAGCACGGCCAGGUGGUCGUGUCAAAGCGAGGAAGAUAAAGGGCGAUGAGUGGUGGCUGCAGCAGAUGUUGGUGGGAGUGUUCUUACUGGAAUCAAUGGGAACCCGCUUGGAGUUCUUGCAAGGCAAUUGGGUUUAUCACGUCAUAAGGUUAGAGAUAUUUGCCCUUUGUAUUUACCUGAUGGGAAGGCUGUUGAUUCAGAGAUUGAUUCUAGGGUAGAGAUUUCGUUUAACAAGUUGUUAGAGUUUGUAAGCUUAGGCUGGCCAUGAUUGAGGAAGUUAAAUCUGUUGAUGUUAACUUGGGCACUGCUCUUGAAGCUUUUAGGCAUGCACUUAAAGUAGCUAAGGAUUCACAAGAGAGAAUGCUAUUGAAUUGGCAUCUCGCAAAUUUAGAAUAUGCAAAUGCUUCAUUAAUGUCUAAUUUGUCUAUGGCGUAUUGGGAUCAGGAUGAUCCAUAUGAGAUGGGAGGUGACCAUUGUUUUAUUCCUGGAGGUAAUGAUACUUUUGUUAAAGAACUUGCUAUGGAUCUGCCCAUUUUCUAUGAAAGGACUGUAGAGAGUAUUAGGUAUGGAGUUGAUGGGGUUAUUGUUUAUGCAAGUGGGCAGGUGUUUCGUGGUGACAUGGCGCUCUGUACAGUGCCAUUGGGUGUGCUUAAGAAGGGAACUAUUGAAUUUGUGCCUGAGCUUCCACAAAGAAAGAAAGAUGCAAUUCAGAGAUUGGGAUAUGGGCUGUUAAAUAAGGUGGCACUGUUGUUUCCCUAUAAUUUUUGGGGAGGAGAGAUUGAUACAUUCGGGCAUUUGACAGAAGAUUCAAGCAUGAGAGGUGAAUUCUUUCUGUUUUAUAGUUAUUCUUCUGUUUCAGGGGGUCCGCUUCUAAUUGCUCUUGUUGCUGGGGAUGCUGCAGUUAAGUUUGAGACAAUGUCUCCAGUGGAGUCUGUUAAAAGGGUCCUAGAAAUAUUGCGGGGUAUUUUCCAUCCAAAAGGGAUUGUUGUUCCAGAUCCAGUUCAGGCAGUCUGUACCCGCUGGGGGAAAGAUUGCUUCACAUAUGGGUCUUAUUCUUAUGUUGCAGUUGGAUCUUCAGGAGAUGAUUAUGAUAUUCUUGCUGAGAGCAUUGGAGAUGGAAGGGUUUUCUUUGCGGGAGAGGCAACAAACAAACAGUAUCCAGCAACAAUGCAUGGAGCAUUUCUAAGUGGAAUGAGAGAGGCUGCUAACAUAUUGAGAGUGGCCAAGAGGAGGUCUUUGGCUCUGACCAGCAAAUUAAACAAUGACAUUGAGGAAAGUGAUGAUUUAACUAAAUUAUAUGACACCCCUGAUCUGAUAUUUGGGAGCUUCUCUAUUCUGUUUGAUCCCAGGUCUAAUGAUCUUGAAUCCCUUUCAUUAUUAAGGGUCAAAUUCCAAGGACCAAAAUUGGAUUCUUGCUUGCUGUGUCUUUAUGGUUUGAUUUCCAGGAAGCAGGCCAUUGAACUAAGUGAGUUAGAUGAUGAUGUAAAGAGGAUGGAAAUGUUAUAUCACAACUUUCAAGUAAGGUUGGUUGCUAGGAAAGGCUUAUCCGAUGAUGGGGAUUCCCUUAUAAUGCACAUCAAGGCAUCUAGAUCCAGUCUAAGUGUUGGGAUUUGAGAUGAUGCAGGGCAUUAAAACAGAAAGUCUUUCUUUUGUUGUCCUAUGAGUGAAGGUGGCUAACUAUUGGCUUCUCCAAAAUUUGACUUUUCUUUGGAGCCGGAUUAAUUUAGUUCAGAGACAAUUAUUUGGGUAAAUAGUUCAGAGGCAGUGGUCCUCCUUCACCUUCAGUUGUCAAACUUGCUGCUCCUUUGUCAGAAAUUACUUCCAAGGAACGAGUGUAGUAUAAAAGUUUUAGGUCAGUCAGCUGUUAUGAAAAUUUGGAGAAUUCCAUCAUUUCCAAUCUUGAAUUCUGGUGAUAUAAGCAAGAGAAAGAUUUAGGCUUGGAUAGGAUUAGGAGCAUUGAGGAGAUUCACUUGUUUUCCUCAAGUUCUUGAUCAUAUGUAGAUCAGUGCUUGUUUAGUUGAUGAGAAGAGAUUCAAUUCCAGGUGCUGGCUGCUUUUUCUGGAGGUGGUUGAAAUGACUGGUCUUGUAGGAGCAAGUGUGCAACUUUUUGGUCAGCUUCUAUGGGCAUCAAUGUGCAAAUGCAAGUAUUGGUCUGGUAGGUGGAAUAUGGAUGUUGAUAUCGUGUAGCGCCUGAAUCCUGCUUGAAGUGCUGAAUAUCUGCCUAUGCUGAGCAUUCUUCCAUUUCAGUUAUUCUAAAUUAAUAUUACUGAGUAACAAACAUGCAAGUCUAGUUUACAUCAGUACUACGCAAAUUUUGACUUGAAUGUAAAGUCCAUACUAUUUUACGUGGAACUGACAAAGCUGCCGAGAUAUUGCUGAAUUUUUUAAUGUUUUAUAUUUUAUUUAAAAAGCAAUGGUUAUUCUUAUUUUAAGCAAAUUAAAAAAAAAAAUGUUUUUAUUUUUCUGUUUGUAAAUCUUUUGCUUUGACCUGCGAAGCAUGGAAAUGCCAAUCACCGGUGUUUCCCCAUCUUGCAAACGUUUUAGGACAAAAACGGCAAGACAGGCCAACUGCAGACGACGCGUUUGUUAGAAGUUUAAAAUCGCAUCGACGCAAAGUCGCAUACUAGAGCCUUGAUGCUACGAGGAUCGCUGAUUCCGGAACAGUCGCAGCAGUUAAGAAGAAAUUGAUGUUGUGGCUGUCCUUUUUUUAAUUUAGUUGUUAUUGUGAGUGUGGUUGGCGGUCGGCUAAGUAUGUGGCUAUAGUGUAAUGGGCUUAUUGUAUAAAGGGCCCAAAUCUAAUUUGAAGUUUUUUAUUUUUAUUUUU